ensembl:misc_RNA Metazoa_SRP Metazoan signal recognition particle RNA
GCUAGACAUGGUGGCGCAUGCCUGUAGUCCCAGCCACUCGGAGGCUGAGGCAGGAGGAUGGCUUGAGCCCAAGAGUUCAAGGCUGCAGUGUACCAUUAUUGUGCCUGGGAAUAACCUCUGCACUCUAGCCUGGGCAACAUAGUGAGACCCUGUUUCUA